CACGUAGGCACCAAGCGUUGUCCGGAUUUAUUGGGCGUAAAGAGCUCGUAGGCGGUUCAGUAAGUCGGGUGUGAAAACUUUGGGCUUAACCUGGGAACUGCAUUGGUGACUGGCAGGCUAGAGUAUGGCAGAGGGGGGUAGAAUUCCACGUGUAGCAGUGAAAUGCGUAGAGAUGUGGAGGAAUACCGAUGGCGAAGGCAGCCCCCUGGGCCAAUACUGACGCUCAUGCACGAAAGCGUGGGGAGCAAACAGG
rnacentral:rRNA from 1 species